rnacentral:rRNA from 1 species
UACGUAGGGGGCAAGCGUUGUCCGGAAUCAUUGGGCGUAAAGCGCGUGUAGGCGGCUGAGUAAGUCUGCUCUGAAAGCCCGGGGCUCAACCCCGGGAGGCGGGUGGAUACUGCUCAGCUCGAGUCCGGAAGAGGAGUGUGGAAUUCCUGGUGUAGCGGUGAAAUGCGCAGAUAUCAGGAGGAACACCAAUGGCGAAGGCAGGUCUCUGGGCUGUAACUGACGCUGAGGAGCGAAAGCAUGGGGAGCGAACAGG